CUUGUUCAGUCACUGGCCACGAGCAGCCUGUGGGAAGCGUGGCCUCCCACAAGUGUGUUGGUGGAUCCAGAAGACAAGCAGCGAAGCCUCCCGUUCUGCCCUCUGCAGUGGAUCUGCACGGGGCUGCUUCUAGCAUUACAGUGGUUUAACCCAAUAGGGGUCUGCAGUAAGUGGGCACCUGCUGGCACCUGAGCUGGGGUGGCUGCUACGCCUUGGGUGUGUCAUCCUGGUUGGAGAUGAGCGUAGCCCCAGCAGCUCCCAUCCACGGUCAGCAAGAGGGAGGCGGGGUGGGAGCCCCUCUGUGAAGAAAGCCAGAUCUUUCCCAGGAGCCUCACAGCAGCCUACGCCUCCUUGACCUGAGCCAGGGCUUGUGGCCAGGUGGCCUGGAGAGAAAGUCGGGUCAGCCCCCCCUAUGGUGCGCCUGCCCCAGAGGAAGCCCCUGAAACUGGCGCUUGAGUUCCCUGCAGACCUGGGGUCGGGUGCUUCCCCCAGGGCCCCUGGCCUCGGCCUGGAGUGUCUCCUGACAGCUCAGCAGGCGGCACCUGGAGCUGCACACUUCGUUAUGGCCUCGCAGCAAAGCGGUUAACCUCUGCUCCGAAGGCUGAGUCUGUGACUGGAAGGGAAAUGGCUUUUGUUGUUUGGCCACCACCUACCAUGUGCUUCCACGUGUUGUUUUCUCUUCCUACUGAACUCGUGUGCGAGGUGGAUGUUGUUUCAGGCACUGGGGCGUGUCUCCUCCUGUCUGCUCUGCCUCUCCUGUUGGGUGGCAGCCACGGAGUUUGGUAUGUGGGUGCCAGAUCCCCAGGGUGGUCUGACUAGUCUGAGUCCAUCAGAGCAAUCCCCUCCCCUUGUGGUCGGUUCAGAAAUGGACUGACAGCCAGUGUGGCUCUGUGAGACUGGGGUAGAAUUGCUGGGGCUUCUAGAGGUUUUUUGUCCCCUUUGGGUUAGAGAGAAAGCUGCAGAUGACCAGUUUCUGUCUUCGGCUAGAUGUGAACAAGAACACCAGAUUGCUCCGGCUGCGUCCUGUGACCCCGAGGGAGUCCAGCACCAAACAGUGGCAGGGAGGCAGAAAGAGGCCAUCCAAGAUGCCAAAAGGAAAGAAGGCUAAGAGGAAGAAGGUGGCCCUAGCCCCUGCUGUUUUAACGGAACAAGAGGCCAAGAAAGUAUCAGCCCCAUUUGACAAAAGGCCCAAGAAUUUUGGCAUCAGACAGGAUAUCUAA
rnacentral:lncRNA from 1 species